UACAGAGGGUGCGAGCGUUAAUCGGAAUUACUGGGCGUAAAGCGCGCGUAGGCGGCUUUGCAAGUCGGGUGUGAAAUCCCCAGGCUUAACCUGGGAACUGCAUUCGAGACUGCAUUGCUAGAGUAUGGGAGAGGGAAGUGGAAUUUCCGGUGUAGCGGUGAAAUGCGUAGAUAUCGAGAGGAACACCUGCGGCGAAGGCGGGUAGCUGGGCCGACACUGACGCUGAUGCGCGAAAGCCAGGGGAGCGAACGGG
rnacentral:rRNA from 1 species